rnacentral:rRNA from 1 species
CCCCAGACUCCUACGGGAGGCAGCAGUGGGGAAUAUUGCACAAUGGGGGAAACCCUGAUGCAGCAACGCCGCGUGAGUGAAGAAGUAUUUCGGUAUGUAAAGCUCUAUCAGCAGGGAAGAAGAAAGACGGUACCUGACUAAGAAGCCCCGGCUAACUACGUGCCAGCAGCCGCGGUAAUACGUAGGGGGCAAGCGUUAUCCGGAUUUACUGGGUGUAAAGGGAGCGUAGACGGCGACGCAAGUCUGGAGUGAAAGCCCGGGGCCCAACCCCGGGACUGCUCUGGAAACUGCGGCGCUGGAGUACGGGAGGGGCAGGCGGAAUUCCUGGUGUAGCGGUGAAAUGCGUAGAUAUCAGGAGGAACACCGGCGGCGAAGGCGGCCUGCUGGACCGUGACUGACGUUGAGGCUCGAGAGCGUGGGGAGCAAACAGGAUUAGAUACCCCUGUAA